rnacentral:rRNA from 1 species
UCAAAUGAAUUAAGGCUUACGGCGGAGACCUAGGCACCCAGAGACGAAGAAGGGCGCAGAUACCGGCGAUACGCUUCGGGGAGCUGGUAACAAGCUUUGAUCCGAAGAUCCCCGAAUAGGGCAACCUCAAGAACUUUCUAUGAAUUCAUAAGUAGAAUAGAGACAACCCGGUGAAUUGAAACAUCUUAGUAGCUGGAGGAAAAGAAAGCAAACGCGAUUCCCGUAGUAGCGGCGAGCGAACCGGGAUCAGCCUAAACCUGACUGUAAAAAGAAAGGGGUAGUGGGAAGACUAAUUUUUUAGAGUGUAAGACGAAGCAGCUGAAUCCUGCACCAUAGAUGGUGAAAGUCCAGUAGUUAUAAACAUUUGCUCUCUUUACAAUGCAAUGCAAUCUUUGCGGAGCAAAGAAAGAGAGGCUAAAAAAGAAGCACGCAUGGCCAAUUAUUUUGGCUUUGUUUUUGGCAAAAUAAUAGAUAAAUCUAGGCCAGCGCGCUAUAAAAAAAGUAAUAUCCCGAGUAGCAUGGGGCACGUGGAAUCCCGUGUGAAUCAGCGAGGACCACCUCGUAAGGCUAAAUACUCCUGGGUGACCGAUAGUGCAAAGUACCGCGAGGGAAUGGUGAUAAGAACCCCUGUAGGGGAGUGAAAUAGAACAUGAAACCGUAAGCUGACAAGCAGUGGGAGGAGCGGCUUCGCCGCCUGACCGCGUGCCUGUUGAAGAAUGAGCCAGCGACUUAUAGGAAGUGGCAAGGUUAAGGAGUCAAAUCCGGAGCCUUAGCGAAAGCGAGUCUUAAUAGGGCGAUUAAAGAGUCACUUCCUAUGGACCCGAACCCGGGUGAUCUAAUCAUGACCAGGAUGAAGCUUGGGUAACACCAAGUGGAGGUCCGAACCGACCGAUGUUGAAAAAUCGGCGGAUGAGUUGUGAUUAGGGGAGAAAUUCCAAUCGAACUCGGAGCUAGCUGGAUCUCCCCGAAAUGCGUUGAGGCGCAGCGGUGACUAUGAGCUAUCUAGAGGUAAAGCUACUGUUUCGAUGCGGGCUGCGAAAGCGGUACCAAGUCGUGGCAAACUCAGAAUACUAGAUACAGCCUUCAGUCAACCAGUGAGAUGUGCAGGGAUAAGCUUGUACAUCAAGAGGGAAACAGCCCAGAUCACCAGCUAAGGCCCCUAAAUGGUCACUAAGUGGAAAAGGAUGUGAUGUUGCAGAAACAACCAGGAGGUUUGCUUAGAAGCAGCAAGCCUUAAAAGAGUGCGUAAUAGCUCACUGGUAAAGCGAUAUUGCGCCGACAAUGGCCGGGACUAAGUGACCUGCCGAAGCUGUGAUAUUUGAUUUAUAUGCCCUCUUGCCCCCCCUUGCCCCGUAAGGUUCCCCCCCCCAAAUAUUUAUUUUAUUUAUUUGGGGGGGGGGGUAAAUAAGGGGGUAGGGGCAAAAAUCAAAUAGGUAGGGGAGCGUUCCGUUAUCGGGUGAAGUUUUCACGUAAGUGAUUAUGGACGAAUCGGAAGUGAGAAUGUUGGCUUGAGUAACGAAAACAUUGGUGAGAAUCCAAUGCCCCGAAAACCUAAGGGUUCCUCCACUAGGCUCGUCCAUGGGGGGUUAGUCAGGUCCUAAGGCUAGUUAGAUUUAUCUAAGUCGUCGAUGGAAAACAGGUUAAUAUUCCUGUACUGGUUUUAUUGGGAACCAAGGGACGAAGGAGACUAAACUGAAACUGCUACUGGAUUUCAGUGGAAGCAUUCAAGGUGUUGAUAGCUAGAAUAAAAACUAUGCUUGAGCUGAGAUGUGAUCCCUAUACUAUACAAGUUAUAGUGUAGUCAGUGAUGUCAAACUUCCAAGAAAAGCUUGAACACCAUAACAAUAAAAUCACCUGUACCUGAAACCGACACAGGUAGGUUGGUAGAGAAUACCAAGGGGCGCGAGAGAACUCUCUCUAAGGAACUCGGCAAACUGGCCCCGUAACUUCGGAAGAAGGGGCACCCUCUUUCUUUUAAUCAUAAAAGAGGGUCGCAGUGACCAGGCUCUGGGAACUGUUUAUCAAAAACACAGGUCUCCGCAAAGUCGUAAGACGAUAUAUGGGGGCUGACGCCUGCCCAGUGCCGGAAGGUUAAGGAAGUUGGUUAUUAAGUAAUUAAGAAGCUGACGACCGAAGCCCCGGUGAACGGCGGUCGUAACUAUAACGAUCCUAAGGUAGCGAAAUUCAUUGCCAAGUAAGUUUUGGCCUGCACGAAAGGCGUAAUCAUCAGAGCGCUGUCUCGGAGAGAGACUCGGUGAAAUAGACUUGUCCCGUGAAGAUGCGGACUACCUAUACCUGGACAGAAAGACCCUAUGAAGCUUGACUGUAUCCUGGAAUUGGGUUCGGGCUUUUCUUGCGCAGCCUAGGUGGGAGGCUAUGAAGGUUCCCUUCCGGGGGAAUUUGAGCCAUCAUUGAGAGACCACUCUGGAAGAGCUAGAAUCCUAAUGGUGAUCUUUGAAUCAAGACACUUGACAGUUUCAGGUGGGCAGUUUAUCUGGGGCGGAUGCCUCCUAAAGUGUAACGGAGGCGUGCAAAGGUUCUCUCAGUCUGGACGGAAAUCAGACAUUGAGUGCAAAGGCAAAAGAGAGCUUGACUGUAAGACCAACAAGUCGAGCAGGGGCGAAAGCCGGCCUUAGUGAUCCGACGGUGCCGUGUGGAAGGGCCGUCGCUCAACGGAUAAAAGUUACUCUAGGGAUAACAGGCUGAUCUUCCCCAAGAGUUCACAUCGACGGGAAGGUUUGGCACCUCGAUGUCGGUUCAUCACAUCCUGGAGCGGCAGUACGUUCCAAGGGUUGGGCUGUUCGCCCAUUAAAGUGGUACGUGAGCUGGGUUCAAAACGUCGUGAGACAGUUUGGUCCAUAUCCGGUAUAGGCGUUAGAGCAUUGAGAGGAGCCUUCGAUAGUACGAGAGGAUUUUCGAAAGGUAAGCCAAUAGUGUAUCGGUUAUUUUUCCAAAAGUAAACGCCGAGUAGCCACGCUUAUAGGGAUAACUGCUGAAAGCAUCUAAGUAGGAAACCCACCUCAAGAUGAGUGCUCUCCAUUAGGUCGCGGCAAGACAAGCCGUUUAAUAGGCAUUAGGUGUACAAUCAGUAAUGGUUUUAGCCGAGAUGUACUAAAGACCGAUUGAUUUUGAC